CCCAGGGUGGGGGUGGUUUGAUUGUUUAUUUUUCUGAAAAAAUAAAAUUUUCAAGACAAAACAACAUUGAAAUAGGAGGUAUUGAAACAAUGUGGUUUGAGGUAAAACCAGAUUAUAAAAAAUCAUUUUUACUAUGUUUUGUGUACAGACCUCCAAAGUCAACAAUAGACUGGAUUGAUGAUUUUGAAAAAGAACUAGGAAUGGCAGUGACCAUUAAUUCAGAUAUUAUAUUAUUGGGGGAUUUUAAUAUGAAUUUUAAAGCACCAAGCAAACCUCCUCAAAAAUGGUUGAAUGUUUUAGAAUCAUUCAAUCUUCAACAAUUGAUUGUAGAUGCUACAAGGGUCACAAAGG
rnacentral:lncRNA from 1 species